GAUAAACGCUGGCGGCGUGCUUAACACAUGCAAGUCGAACGGAGUAUUUCUCCCGAGACCGAGGAAGCUUGCUUCCGAAGAAUCAUUUGAAAUACUUAGUGGCGGACGGGUGAGUAACGCGUUGGUAACCUGCCCUAUACUGGGGGAUAACAGUUGGAAACGACUGCUAAUACCGCAUAAGCCUACGGUGCCGCAUGACACAGUAGGAAAAACUCCGGUGGUAUAGGAUGGACCCGCGUCUGAUUAGCUAGUUGGUGAGGUAACGGCCCACCAAGGCGACGAUCAGUAGCCGGCCUGAGAGGGUGAACGGCCACAUUGGGACUGAGACACGGCCCAAACUCC
rnacentral:rRNA from 1 species